rnacentral:rRNA from 1 species
AGUGAACGCUGGCGGUAGGCCUAACACAUGCAAGUCGAACGGCAGCACAGUAAGAGCUUGCUCUUACGGGUGGCGAGUGGCGGACGGGUGAGGAAUACAUCGGAAUCUACUUUUUCGUGGGGGAUAACGUAGGGAAACUUACGCUAAUACCGCAUACGACCUACGGGUGAAAGCAGGGGAUCUUCGGACCUUGCGCGAUUGAAUGAGCCGAUGUCGGAUUAGCUAGUUGGCGGGGUAAAGGCCCACCAAGGCGACGAUCCGUAGCUGGUCUGAGAGGAUGAUCAGCCAAACUGGAAAUGAGACACGGGCCAGACCCCUACGGGAGGGAGCGGGGGGGAAUAUGGGAAAAUGGGCGCAAGCCGGAUCCAGCCAACCCGCGGGGGGGAAGAAGGCCUUGGGGUUGUAAAGCCCUUUUUUUGGGAAAAAAAAGCAGCAGGUUAAUACCCCGCUGUUCUGACGGUACCCAAAGAAUAAGCACCGGCUAACUUCGU